CAUGAACCGUUGGACCGACGUUCGCUUGCGAAAAAAAAGAAAGCGGCUCCACGACUGUGUUCGUCUUCCUCGCGUGGUCCGACCAAUGAAUUCCUCUUCUCCUUCUCAUCUUCCCCACCGAGUAAAGGCAUCAGUAACCGAUGGAGCCACUCAUCUCUUUUUAAGCAAUGGAUCUGCUAGAUCCGUUCCCCUCAUCUACAGUAGAUUGGGUAUCCAGCGUCUCUGCACUAGAGUUGCCAUCGACCUUGAGAUCUCAAGCCCUUGGCAUGUUGGUACUACCUCCACGGCUUUACAAGCAGCGCGCAGGAGAUGCGAAUUUGGAGGACGAGUCAGGUACGAACCUCCCUAGCACAGGGGAAGCGCUUGAUGACGCGUUGCAUCCAGGUCGUUGUGGACGUACUCUGCAGCCGAGGCGUCGUCUCUUGGUCUCUGGCGUCUCCACCACAAGAACACCGUAUCUCUACUUCGGCGGCGUAUAUCUACUACGCAGUUUCUGCACAUACAUUGUUGCCUCAUCAGGAUGAGGAAUAUAGACAUUCAGCAACUGAAGAAUCAGGAAAUGUGUCGACUCAAGACAACAUGUAAUGCCGUCAGUAAGGCUAAUUAGGAGAUUAUCCUGCAGGAUUGUUGUUUGUCUUCCAUGCGACUUUAAUUAUUGUAUAGCAAUGAAGCCCAGAUGAUCUGUUUUCUCAGGGUCGCAGCCUCGGUUUCUCCAGGAGAUUUGACAUACUCCUCCACCCAUUGGAUACCUUGAUGGAGUGGUUACGUACUAAAAUAUUCAGCAUUGCUAUGAAGAGACCACUCUCCAACUGUUAACAGUCGUUUUCCUAAAGUUAUGUCUCUCAGCAACUAAGCACCGCCGAUGUUUACGAGGUAUACAAAGCUGGCUGCUCACCUUUCUCCGUGACUCGAUAAAAAUAGUUUCUCUCACAAGCCAACAAGAAUACUUAGGACAUGACUGUCAUAAGAGUGCCAAAUCUUUGUAAAAAAACUAAUGUAAAUAUUAGUAUUGUGUUGUGUUGACAUCUAUUUGUCAUAUUUCACUUUCUUUAUGUAUGAUUUACACUUUUCCUUGAAGUUGCUCCAUAUUAUGUUUAA